AGCUGAAAAAAAAAAAAACAUUUUUGAAAUCCAAAUAUACACCACAGAUGAUUUAAUAAUUCAAAAAUGCCACAACACAGAUGAAAACAUAGAUUGUUGAUAAUUCGUCCACUUAGGAAGAUAGCUAAAGAUUCUAAAUUCUUUAUGCAAGUCAAACAUUCUGUGGCCAAUUGCAUAAAGAAAUUUGCAAACUAAUACAAGAACUCUAACCAGCUUGUUUGCAAUGUAAGUGCAAAGGCCUUUUUCGUGCAACGCUAAAAAUCUUGGGGCCUCAUUUUUUCUGUUAUAUUUUCUCCUCUUUCAUUUUAAAAUGCCAACGCAUGGCAUUAUAUGA
rnacentral:misc_RNA from 1 species